GCCGGGUAGGCGCCGAGCUCUGCCACUCCCGGUGCCCAACAGUCCAGGCAGAGACGGGGGACCCAGGUCUCCGGGCAAGCGCUCAUGUUGAGCCAGCCCUAGGGGUGAAGCCGUGCCGCCACGUUCCGCUGUGGCCACGGCCGGAUGACCUCAUCCGAAUCCGACAGCUAACUCCGCAGGCGUCGAGAGGCAAUCA
rfam:Arthrobacter sp. Hiyo8 DNA, complete genome, strain: Hiyo8.